rnacentral:rRNA from 1 species
UAAGGAAUAUUGGGCAAUGGCCGCAAGUCUGACCCAGCCAUGCCGCGUGAAGGAUGAAUGUCCUAUGGAUUGUAAACUUCUUUUAUGCAGGAAAAAUAUCCUGGUCGAGCACCGGGACUGAUGGUACUGUAUGAAUAAGCAUCGGCUAACUCCGUGCCAGCAGCCGCGGUAAUACGGAGGAUGCAAGCGUUAUCCGGAUUCAUUGGGUUUAAAGGGUGCGCAGGCGGAAUGAUAAGUCAGUGGUGAAAUCUCCCGGCUCAACCGGGAAACUGCCAUUGAUACUGUCAUUCUUGAGUACAGUUGAAGUGGGCGGAAUGUGUCAUGUAGCGGUGAAAUGCUUAGAUAUGACACAGAACACCGAUAGCGAAGGCAGCUCACUAAGCUGUAACUGACGCUCAUGCACGAAAGCGUGGGGAUCAAACAG